UAACCCACGAAAAACCUUACCAGUUUUUGAAAACCCAACAUGUAUACCAUCGUCGUCAGUCUACCUCUCAAGAGAAGUACACUCAAUGAAAAUUGCUCAUUACGUCAGAUCGAGGUGCAGUUUAUAAACUGGGGAUAGGUGAGCUACAAUACUCUAAACCAACAUAACUCAAAUAUAACUAUGAACGGUUAAAUGAAAACUUAAACUAGAAACAGGAUUCAGCAGUAAUAUUCAAAAGAAAGUGAAUAUGAAAAUCACUAGCUCUAAAAUACGC
rnacentral:rRNA from 1 species